rnacentral:lncRNA from 10 species
UGCCUGGAGUGAAGAUUCUGCCCAUUGGUCAAGAGACCUCCCUCUCAGAUGCUGGCUCUGCCCCUGCCUUUGGGGGUCGACCCUUGUACUCGCAGGACCUUAGGUGACUCUUCAUAUCCAUUGGAUUCUAAGUGACAGAUACUAUUCCAUCAGGAUAAAGCACACCUCCCUUUGUCCACACAGCCCCUAGAAGCAGGCAGUACAGAGCACAGCAGCUACUUAUCCCCACCUUACAGAUGAGAUGACUGAGAAGGGAGAACCAGCACUGCAAAAUCCUAGACUCCUGACUUGGAGUUCAGUACUCUUUGAUUCUACUUCUCUGAUCAUCCAGGAAGCCAACCUGCCUGAGGACGAGUCAUACUCUGUCCUCCCACCCCAGGCCAGAGAGUGGUAUCUGUCUUUCCACAAGUUGCCAACCCUUCUGCCCUGGAGACCUGAGUUGCCUGUGCUUCAACACCAUUCUUCAUUCUGCCUUUCACAAAAUGUACCACCUAAGUGAUAAGGAGCUGGCCAUAAAGACAUUCUCUGACCUACUCUGUUUGAUAGUAGGUCCUCAGAUCCGCAUUCCAAAGGGAUCCUGUCCCAUACUUGGGAGCAAGAAAUGCCACACAGAGAGGCCAUGAAGAACUCAAACAGAGAGGCCUUGCUGGGUCCUUCUUUCAGUCUAUGACUCUUAGAUUACAGCCUUUUGUCCCAUCACACUUCUGCAUUCUGCACAGCCUUUGUGAAUUCUAAGUAUGCAAGUGGCCAGUUUCUUUGGAUAUCUGAGUCUUCAUUUAUGAAGACUCCAGUGUCAGG